GCCAAAAAAAAUAAAGCUGACUCUUUUUUUUCAUCCUGAAUUUAUGUUCAUCAUUGUUUAGGACCCAGAUGAAGAUGAGGAGACACGUCAGUACAGACUCAAGAUCGAAGAACAGAAGCGCCUGCGAGAAGAGAUCCUCAAGCGCAAAGAGCAGCGCAGACAGAUGCAGGCUGGUAUGCGCAAAAAAGAACUGAUGGAACGGAUAAGUGGCCAGAACCCAAACCAGACUCCACAAACUCAGAACCCCACACAGUACCCUGCAGCCCAACCCCCACAGCCGGUCCCUUCACUGAUCUCUAACGGUACCCCCCAGAACCCUUCGUCAGGUCUUAGUUCCCCUCAUCCAAAUGUGAAGGCCCGGCUGCAGAACACUAAUCCUCAGGCACAGACUUCAGGCUGGUCUGGGCCACAGAAGCAACAGAACGCUGGUCCUGAAGCCAGCCAGCAGGGCCAAUGGCAACCACAGCAGAAGAGGACCAUGACCCCACAAAACACUCAAAGACAAGGUGCUGCUCAGACCAGCCCAUCAGAAGUGCCAGUGGGUCAGCCUCAGCCUGGGGGAAAGAGAACAGUGAUGCAAAGAGCGAGCAGCAUAGAAUCACCACAGGUUCCACAGAAAGUGCGAGUAGUUAAGCUUCUAGGAGAGCAGGCAGAUGCCGGUCCCAACACUGGUCCCCCACAGCAGCAGCAACAACCAAUUGGUCGGCCUGUCCCCCAACAGAGACUUGGUCCCAUCAGGAAAGUUACCAUGGCAGCUGGUGGUGUACAAAAUCAACAACAGGCUGGCCGUGGCAUGGCAAACCAAAUGAACCGGGUAUGACAUUGAAUCUGGAUUACUCUCAUAAGCCCUUAAUUGGACAGGUGCACAAUGCCAUUUUGCACAGCUGACACUAAGCCCUGAUACUAAUGGUGAUUUCAAGUCAUGUCGAAAGGAAUGUAUUUACGACUUUCUUUAAGCCACGGCUUUCCGAGUUGGGAACGUCUGAAUUAAAGCAUUAUGGUGGAAGCAAAUUUCUGUUAGUCAUAAGUUGUAACUGUGAAAUGUUUUAUGCAUUUUGUGUACUGUGGAGGAAAAUGAUGAAACUUGCCAGAAAGCAGUGCAUUUAACUUGUUUACGAGGAAAUCAGAUCAAAUUCCCCAUCUCUCAUCCUCCUCUGUGGCGCCCCAAGAAUAAAAAAUACACCACCGUUGAAAUGUUUGGGGUCAG
rnacentral:lncRNA from 1 species